CUCUUAUGAAGUUAGCGGCGGACGGGUGAGUAACACGUGGGUAACCUGCCCAUAAGACUGGGAUAACUCCGGGAAACCGGGGCUAAUACCGGAUAACAUUUUGAACCGCAUGGUUCGAAAUUGAAAGGCGGCUUCGGCUGUCACUUAUGGAUGGACCCGCGUCGCAUUAGCUAGUUGGUGAGGUAACGGCUCACCAAGGCAACGAUGCGUAGCCGACCUGAGAGGGUGAUCGGCCACACUGGGACUGAGACACGGCCCAGACUCCUACGGGAGGCAGCAGUAGGGAAUCUUCCGCAAUGGACGAAAGUCUGACGGAGCAACGCCGCGUGAGUGAUGAAGGCUUUCGGGUCGUAAAACUCUGUUGUUAGGGAAGAACAAGUGCUAGUUGAAUAAGCUGGCACCUUGACGGUACCUAACCAGAAAGCCACGGCUAACUACGUGCCAGCAGCCGCGGUAAUACGUAGGUGGCAAGCGUUAUCCGGAAUUAUU
rnacentral:rRNA from 1 species